GACGAACGUUGGCGGCGUGCUUAAUACAUGCCAGUCAACUGAAGCAGUGGUAGCAAUAUCGCUGUGGAGGUGGCGCACGGGUGAGUAACACGUAGGUAAUCUGCCUUCAGGUCUGGCAUAACUCCGGGAAACCGGGGCUAAUAGCAGAUGAUGCAGCGGCUCGACAUCGAGACAGUUGUUAAAGCUAUGGCGCCUGAAGAUGAGCCUGCGUCUGAUUAGGUAGUUGGCGGGGUAACGGCCCACCAAGGCAACGAUCAGUAGCUGGUCUGAGAGGAUGAUCAGCCACACUGGAACUGAGACACGGUCCAGACUCCUACGGGAGGCAGCAGUAAGGAAUAUUGCUCAAUGGGAGAAAUCCUGAAGCAGCAACGCCGCGUGAGGGACGAAGGGCUUUGGCUUGUAAACCUCUGUAGUGAGAGAAAAAAAUCCCAAUCUUUGGGACAUGAUGGUAGCUCAAAAGUAAGCCCCGGCUAACUACGUG
rnacentral:rRNA from 1 species